CCCGUGAACCUUUACUAUAGCUUGACACUGAACAUUGAGCCUUGAUGUGUAGGAUAGGUGGGAGGCUUUGAAGUGUGGACGCCAGUCUGCAUGGAGCCGACCUUGAAAUACCACCCUUUAAUGUUUGAUGUUCUAACGUGGACCCGUGAUCCGGGUUGCGGACAGUGUCUGGUGGGUAGUUUGACUGGGGCGGUCUCCUCCUAAAGAGUAACGGAGGAGCACGAAGGUUGGCUAAUCCUGGUCGGACAUCAGGAGGUUAGUGCAAUGGCAUAAGCCAGCUUGACUGCGAGCGUGACGGCGCGAGCAGGUGCGAAAGCAGGUCAUAGUGAUCCGGUGGUUCUGAAUGGAAGGGCCAUCGCUCAACGGAUAAAAGGUACUCCGGGGAUAACAGGCUGAUACCGCCCAAGAGUUCAUAUCGACGGCGGUGUUUGGCACCUCGAUGUCGGCUCAUCACAUCCUGGGGCUGAAGUAGGUCCCAAGGGUAUGGCUGUUCGCCAUUUAAAGUGGUACGCGAGCUGGGUUUAGAACGUCGUGAGACAGUUCGGUCCCUAUCUGCCGUGGGCGCUGGAGAACUGAGGGGGGCUGCUCCUAGUACGAGAGGACCGGAGUGGACGCAUCACUGGUGUUCGGGUUGUCAUGCCAAUGGCACUGCCCGGUAGCUAAAUGCGGAAGAGAUAAGUGCUGAAAGCAUCUAAGCACGAAACUUGCCCCGAGAUGAGUUCUCCCUGAGACUUAGAGUCUCCUGAAGGAAC
rnacentral:rRNA from 1 species